rnacentral:sRNA from 1 species
AGAUUUUCAAAAGUUUUGGAAAAUAAUAAUUAAAUUGAACCGUGAACCGGAAUUAAUUUGCAUUAGAUAAAAGGUUUUCAAAAGUUUUGGAAAGAUAUUGAAUGUGAAAACCGGAAUCGGAGCACCUUGUGCCAUGCAUUUUAUGAGAUUUGUAUUACUUCUGGUUGCAUGAACUGCCGACUAUGGACGAUGCUUGUGUUUGUUGUGCAUUUAGUUCUGGUUUGCUGGACUGAAGGACAGCAGCUGCCAACGGGGCGUGGCUUAGCCGAAGCCUAGCUGGCGCGGACAGCGUCCAAUUGUUGUGUUGAAGAGGCCGUAGUUGCAGACGGGCGGACUGCACGCGUUGCUGCGGAUGCAUCUAAA